rnacentral:rRNA from 1 species
AAACUUAAGAGUUUGAUCCUGGCUCAGAACGAACGCUGGCGGCAGGCCUAACACAUGCAAGUCGAACGAGAAGCCACCUUCGGGUGGUGGACAGUGGCAGACGGGUGAGUAACGCGUGGGAACGUGCCUUUCGGUUCGGGAUAACCCAGGGAAACUUGGGCUAAUACCGGAUACGCCCUUCGGGGGAAAGAUUCAUCGCCGAAAGAUC